rnacentral:lncRNA from 1 species
GGAUGCUUUAUUUUGCAUUUACAGUAUCUGCUUUCCCCAUAUUGAUCAUCAAGGCCUUAUGGUGAGGCAAUGAGAACUUAUCAUAUGAAUCAGGUCUAUUGAAAAACAAUGGAUAACUUACAAACAUGUCUCCGUAGAAUCAAAAACAUUUUAUAAAACAUACUCUAGUACACAUGAAUUUUAGAUGUCAAAAGGCAUUUAAAAAAAAACAAAGAUGAAGGAAACAUUUAACACUGUGGAGCCUGGCAGAACAGCGCGGACGGCAAGCUGGACACAGCUUCGAAGGCCCAGUGUGAGUGGAAGGAAGAGGAUGACUGGCUGGGCCUUCACUUAAAUAAUUUAUCAGUAAGAUUCUCUUUUUAAAUGAAUGUUUCUACCAAGUGAACAUUUUUUUUUUUUGCCUUGGAAGCUCCUCAAAUUUUAUACGUAUGCUUGUUAAUAACUUGAUUUAAAGAGCUGAGAAUUAGUGGAAGGGAAGAAGGAAAAUCGCUUGUGGUAUUACUGAAGUGACCGGCAUUGCGCAGCACACGCUCAGAAGGGGAGUGUGCGCAGAAAAGGGAUGGAAAGACUCAAUGCCAAAACGUACAAGUGUUCUCACUUGGGGAAUUUAAGAAAACAAACAAAACAAAAAACAUGUCGUCAAUUAGUUUUAAAUUUUCAAAAUGGCAUAAUACAAAUCUUCACACAUCUAUUUUAGGGCUCAUUAAAAUUAACCAUUCUUCUAUUUCUACUUAAGUAUAAUCUGUAUGUGGUUUAGGGAUAUCCGCAGACAGGAUCAUAGAGGCCACUCAAUGGUCACGGCAAGCAUUGGGGCUCAGGAAAGCUGAGGCAGGAAUCCCGAAAGCUAAAGGCCAGAGCAGUUAAGUUUGAAGCCAGCCUAGGACACACAGCAAAACCCUGUCUCGAAUCAAAAAGUAAUAAGGACAGAAAAAAAAUGAAAAUGAAAACAAACAAAAGGAUGCUGAGCAGGGUGGCCCGUGGGCUUAACGCCAGCAUGUAAGAGGUAGAUAAUUUGAUUGGGCAGUGAUUUUUUUUAAGGUGCCUAAUGUCACAAAUUUAGUAUUUUGCCUCAGUGAACCAGGGACCAGGAAGUGAGCAAGAGAUCCUAAGUGUCUCUUCACUGAUUCAGUGGCUCACUCAGGACCUGCUGGCAGCUGUGCUGGCCUCAGUGUGUUCUGAGGACACUUGUGAGCAGUGAGCCCCUCUACGCCCACAGAACUGAGAUCACGGAGAUGGACAGAGUAAUCUAUAGCUUAAUCCCAAGCAUGAGUGCCAUGUCAGGUCCCGUUUUUGAUAUAAUGUGGGCCUAAAACAUAACUUAAGUGCUCUGUAUAUUCUAAUUUUUUUAUUAUACCCAUGAGAUGGGUUUCUGAGACCAUCUCAACUUAAUAUUCAUCUUGCAUCUCAGAUUACCUCUCCUGUUAGUCCAUAAUAUUGUCUAGAGAGAGCAGGUAGAAGCCUUAAGAGCACUUCAUAGAAGAGAUGAACCAAGUUUACUGACUUGGGAGAAGAUUUUGUUCUAACAGAUCCUUACAGAUUUUCAAGUGCAUUUUUUUGUAUAUUGAAUAAGAAUUAUUCUCAAAGCAAAUAUUGAAUGAUAGCAAAGUUCUAACUCAUUAAGACAGCAUAUUUUGACAUCACCAACUCAAAAUGCUAACGGUACCACUAAUUGUAUGCAAUCUGGAAUGAUCUUAACUACAAAUUAAACUCCUGAGACCAAAUGAUCACUACUGUUAGACUGUUUCGACCCCUGACUCCCAACAAUAACACAGAGACUUUUUAUUAUUUAUGAAUGCCAAGGCCUUAUAUCUUAGGCUUCUUCCCAACUAGCUCCUAUGGCUUAACUAAUCCAUUUAUUUUGGUCCAUGUUUGCCACAUGGCCCGUUAUCUUUCAGUCCCUGAAAGUCAGACUUCCUUUUGUGAUGCCCUGCCCUGCCCUGCCUUUCCUUUCCUGACCUACAGGCCCUCAGUGUUUACCAAUCAGAAGGUGGUGGAGAGGAGAGUUUACAAACUACAAUGAAGGUGCUUAGCAAUUCAAAUAACAAUACCAAAGAGUAUUCAGCUGGAAAUCAACAUCUGAAUACAGCAGUGGUGGCGCACGCCUUUAAUCCCAGCACUUGGGAGGCAGAGGCAGGCGGAUUUCUGAGUUAGAGGCCAGCCUGGUCUACAGAGUGGGUUCCAGGACAGCCAGGGAUACACAGAGAAACCCUGUCUCGAAAAAAAAGAACAAAAAGACAAAAAACACAAAACAAAAUAAAAAAGACAACCUUUACACGGUAUGCAAAAAGAUGACCAUAGACGUCAUGGAAGACUAUGAAACAUGGGUUAAAUACAGGGAGCUGCUCUCCAGAGCUGCUUUUUUCUUUUGAACAUUAAAGUAACUGAAUAUUAUUUUUGGAGGGAGGAAAUGUAUGAAGAUAGAGUAGAAUAUUCUACACAUAGGGGAAACAUUCUAAUUAAGAUACUUUAAGCUAUUGUAGAUGUUUAUUUAGUACUAGAAAUGUGCUUAGCUAUCAUAAAGUAUUUCUCUUCAUCACAAAAUAGUAAGGAUUUACACAAUCCAAGGAGAAAAAAACAAUCUAAGAAAACCUUUUGACCUGGGUACUUCUUCUUCUAAAAGGGGUCUCCAAAGUCCUGAGCAGAGUUGUCAUACUCAGUAAUGAAACGCUUGAGCUCUUCCACGCAGCGCUCACCUAUCUCGUGUAAGUUCUGCCUCAGUGCAAACUGGACAGACUUUUCUAAUGAGGGAUCUUUUUCAAUCAGCAUUUUCACCACCAUCCCGAAAGUCUCGCAGUCUUGUCGGUAAACCUAGGAUGGCAAAACACAUUUGGAUUAGAU